rnacentral:rRNA from 1 species
UUUCCGGUUGAUCCCGCCGGACCUGACUGCUAUCGGAUUGAUACUAAGCCAUGCGAGUCUUUGCAGUAAUGCAAGGCAUACGGCUCAGUAACACGUAGUCAACUUACCCUAUGGACGAGGAUAAUCUCGGGAAACUGAGCAUAAUACUCGAUAGAUCAUAAUGCCUGGAAUGGUUUAUGGUUGAAAUGAUUCAUCGCCAUAGGAUGGGACUGCGGCCUAUCAGCUUGUUGGUGAGGUAAUGGCCCACCAAGGCGAUUACAGGUACGGGCUCUGAGAGGAGAAGCCCGGAGAUGGGUACUGAGACAAGGACCCAGGCCCUAUGGGGCGCAGCAGGCGAGAAAACUUUGCAAUGUGCGAAAGCACGACAAGGUUAAUCCGAGUGAUUUCUGCUAAAGAAAUCUUUUGCAAGUCAUAAAACCACUAGUGAAUAAGGGGUGGGCAAGUUCUGGUGUCAGCCGCCGCGGUAAAACCAGCACCUCAAGUGGUCAGGAGGAUUAUUGGGCCUAAAGCAUCCGUAGCCGGCUCUGUAAGUUUUCGGUUAAAUCCAUGUGCUCAACGCAUGGGCUGCCGAAAAUACUGCAUAGCUAGGGAGUGGGAGAGGUAGACGGUACUCGGUAGGAAGGGGUAAAAUCCUUUGAUCUAUCGAUGACCACCUGUGGCGAAGGCGGUCUACCAGAACACGUUCGACGGUGAGGGAUGAAAGCUGGGGGAGCAAACCGGAUUAGAUACCCGGGUAGUCCCAGCUGUAAACGAUGCAGACUCGAUGAUGCAUUGGCAUAUAGCCAGUGCAGUGUCGCAGGGAAGCCGUUAAGUCUGCCGCCUGGGAAGUACGUACGCAAGUAUGAAACUUAAAGGAAUUGGCGGGGGAGCACCACAAGGGGUGAAGCCUGCGGUUCAAUUGGAUUCAACGCCGGGA